GGGGCUGUAGCUCAGUGGUAGAGCACUUGCCUAGCAUGUGUGAGGCCCUGGAUUCAAUCCUCAGCACCA
rnacentral:tRNA from 1 species